rnacentral:pre_miRNA from 1 species
GGUAUUCGUGGAUGCGGUCGACCAUGGUGUGCACGCUUUGUUUGCGACGUAGGACACAUGGUCUACUUCUUCUCGAUAUC